UGGGGAAUUUUCCGCAAUGGGGGGAACCCUGACGGAGCAACGCCGCGUGCGGGAGGACGGCCUGUGGGUUGUAAACCGCUUUUCUCUAGGAAGAAGGUCUGACGGUACUAGAGGAAUCAGCAUCGGCUAACUCCGUGCCAGCAGCCGCGGUAAGACGGAGGAUGCAAGCGUUAUCCGGAAUUAUUGGGCGUAAAGCGUCCGUAGGCGGUUUAUCAAGUCAGUUGUUGAAGACUGCAGCUCAACUGUGGGCGAGCAACUGAAACUGAUUAACUAGAGUGCGGUAGGGGUAGAGGGAAUUCCCAGUGUAGCGGUGAAAUGCGUAGAUAUUGGGAAGAACACCAGUGGCGAAGGCGGCUUUCUGGCUCAAACCUGACGCUGAGGCGCGAAAGCGUGGGGAGCAAACAGGAUUAGAUACCCGCGUAGUCC
rnacentral:rRNA from 1 species